AACUAUGAAAUGGAAUCCCUAGUUGAUCAUCUCCAAUCCUGUGUGGACUAAGGCAAAAUAUCCAAUCCAGUCAUUUACCAAAACAUUACAGGCAACCACUGAAUAUGAAAAGCCACUAACUUUCAGACAAUUUCACAUUGUUAGGCUGUUAUUUUUGUUGUUUUGUCUUAACACAGCAUCACCAACUCAGGGAUUCUCUAGACAAGUGCUCUGAAUUGGGUGGGUGGAGGAUUGUUUAUAUAGAUGGCCUUAGAGAAGGUCUCUUCUGAACCUCUAGAAAUGUGUAGCUUUAACCAGACUCUCAGAGAGGCUGCUGUCUGUAAAAUGGUACAACCCCCAUCUAAGAGAACUGCAGAUCAGAGAGGUGACAGCUCAGGCUAAGACCACAUGGGGACCAGGGGUGGGGACACAGGUAUGUCUCCCUGGCUGCUCAUGACCUUCUCUCCACAGUACUUGUGGCCCAGACCUUCAAGUCAUAAAUGCUUCACGUGGCCACAUUUUCCUUCCAUCAAGCCCCUAAGGGUGUAUGCAAGAUACUAGGGUUUACAAAUCUGAUGUGUGCCUAGGACCAGGCCAACUAAGGUUGUAAAACAAGUCAGGGGCAGAGAACAGAAACUUGAAUCUGGCCGUGUUUGGCCUUGAGGGUCUCUCCUCCUUUCCUCCUUUGUCUUGCAGCCCCUAUAAGGUGCCACUAACACUGACGCAGCCAUUUCUGUUCAGCAAGUCCAGGUUAUCUUCAGAGACUGGAAAUCUGACAGCACUGGACUCAUCAUACUCUGAUAGAUUGGAGCUGAUAGCAGCUAUCCCCUUCCAAAGGGAUGUGAACUAUUCAGUUGUCCAUGGUCAGCAUGAUUUUCUAUCACUUCCCCACUCCCAAGCCAAAGAUAAAUCACUAGUUUUAUCAUAUUUUCCCACUAUUUUGGUGUUUGUAUUGCAAUAAAGAAAUGAUUUUAGUACCCA